GUACAAAUUACCCCAAAUUUUGUGGCUUGAAACAGGAAGCAUUUUUUAUUUUACACAGUAUUUGCAGAUCAAGGAUCCAGAACAGCUUAGUUGGGCAGUUCUGGCUGAGGGCCUCUCAUGAGACUGCAGUGAACAUGUUCGCCAGCACUAGGUUGUCAGAAGGCUGGCCUGGGGUUGGAGGAUUCACUUCCAAGUUGACUCACUCAUAUGCCUGAAUGCAGCUCGUCCUUGAACUGUUUCAUCCAGUUUGGUGAGUUGCUAACACUUGUGCGAAGCCAAGCGUGCAAUCAGUUCAGAUUGGAGGGAUAGUGAAUUUGGUGUUUUUGGUGAGCCCUGGAAUGCAUAUUCAGGAUACCAGAAGCUCAGACCUGUGAUAAAAAAUUCCUCUUCGAUAUGCUCAACUUUGGCAGGCUUGCCAUUCACCCUCAGAUGAGCUGUGAGUCAAAAGUUGGGACUGCUCGAUAGAAGCAUCUAAAUUCAACCCCAGUGCAAAAGCUAAUCAACUGUCAAAGUCAAAGAAUGAGUUGAUGAUUCAGGCAUUUAUAUCAAAAGGUGUUAAAAGAUUAUUUGGAACGUGGUGGAGGAUAAGAAACAGGAUUUCAAAUCCAUUCCAGAAUUACAUUUCUUGCGAGUCUUCUAGGAAAUGAAGCUAAUGAACUUUUAAAGAUCAUUCAUUUAUUCAACUAAGGUUUUUGAGCACUUACUAUGUACCAGAUAUCAAGCCAGGUUCUGGCAAAGCAACUGAGAACAAGACCGCCUGCACCUCAGCUCUCACGAUGUUCAAAAUUUAAGUCAACAGCUAGACUGAGCCCAUAGCCCUUAUUAUUCUGUUUGCUGCCUUAACUUUCCACCAGUUGCCAGAACUGAUAGAAAUUUGAGGGAUUUAUUCCAAUGAAUAGCGUUAGUGGUAGGCAUAACAUUUCUACCCAGUUAAUCAACCACCUAAUUUUUCAAUAAUGGAAAAAAAUGCAUUAACUUGUUGAGACAAACAUGUUUCCCAAAGCCCUUGUCUAGAACUGAGUUACCAAUAACAUGGUUUCAGCAGUAACAUCAUGAUCACAAGUCAUUUUUCUCAGCUGACUUUCUGAGAGCUGAUACAAGAUCCAUGGGAAAUUUCUCUGCAAGGAAACUACGUUAGUAAUGAAUAGAUUGCCAAAGCAAUUUCAACACGGGCAUGGAAAUUUACACAUUCCCUAACUUCGCUUCAAAGACAGGUGAAAUGCCUUCUGAUUUGAGUAAAUGGAAUGCAUUCUGUAGACUGCACCUUUUGUUACAAUUAACUCAAUCGCUCCUGUCGUUCAUCGUUUGGUCAGCCUAAUUAUUUGACAAGCCAAUUCUUUGUUCCAUUGCUAAUCCAUAGUGCAGAUUUUAAUCUCCAACAAUUAAUAACUCAUUCCUACAUAUCUUGGAAAGCUCAGGACUGCCAGUGUAGGCAUUUUUAAAGGUGUGUGUGCAGGUCUCUAGGGAGAAGAUAAAUGUUUGUGGAAUGAAUGCAUGCUCCUUUUAAAAUGAUCGUUUCAAUGAAUAGAAUUAGCAUCUAACACUUGAAAUUUUGCAAUAUACCUAAAUGAUAUCUCAACAGAGAAAAAUUCUAGUGAGAGAAAGAUCUAGAGCAGUAGUACUCAACCAGGGUGAUCCCCCUGCCCCAGGGGACAUUUGGCAAUGUCUGGUGACAUCUUUGGUUGGCACAACAGAGAGAGGGUGCUAUUGGCAUCUGGUAGGUAGAGACCAGGGAUGCUACGAAAUAUUCCACAGUGCACAGGACAGUACCCCCACAACAAAGAAUUAUGUAUUGCCAAAUAUCACUAACGUGGAGGCUGAGAAACCCUGAUCUUCCAGGUUGGUCUAGAUAAUUCUGUUAAAAAAAUUAAUAAGUCAAGUGAUAAAAUAUAGUUUUUAAGACGUUGGCUUUUACAAUCCAAUCCUAGGUCCAUGUCUAGGCUCUCGUUUACCUGGAAGAUAACUUCAAAUAAAUUUCUUAAUUUGUUAAAACCUGUUUAUUCACUUGCACCCUGGGAUUGGUAAUAGUAAUGACUUGUUGCUGUUGCUGUGCAUUUAAAAUGAAAUAAUGUGUGUAGAGUGCUGAGCACAUUCUUGGCAUAGUAAGCACUUAGUACAUGAUAUUAUUAUUAUUAGCUUCUCUGGGUAGAGUACAGUGGUAGCGGUCUCCAGGAUGGCCCCCAAUGAUUCUCACCGUCUGGUAUUUAAGCCCUCGUGUAGUCCCCUCCUAUAAGAGCAGGGCAGACCUGUGUAAUCAAUAGGAUAUUGCAGAAAUGACACGUGUGACUUCUAAGCUUACGUCCAAAAGAUAAAUGUGGCUUCUGCCUUGCUCUUUCUUGGAUUUCCCCCCACCUGGGGAGUUCACCUGUGUUGUGAGCACCCUCAAGAAGGCCUGUGGGGACGUCCACGUGGUGAGGAACUAAGGUUCCCCACCAAAGGCCAGCUACCUGCCUGCCCCACGGCGGAGCCAUUUUGGGAGGGGGUUCUCCAUCCUUAGUCAAGCUCUCAGAUGACUGCAGCUCCAGCCAACGCCUGGACCCCAACCUCAUGGCAGAUUCCAAGCCGGAGCUGCCCAGGGAAAAUGUUGCUCUAUAGUGAUAUUCACAAGUGUGAGCAGUUGUGAAGCUAGUGGCAUUUAUCCCCUGGAAGAGGGCCACACCAGUGUGAAACCUGUGUCACCCUGUGUGAGGACAGUUUGACGUGAGGAGCUGUGACAUCCCGGUUGCUAACAUGUCUUCUCUCAUUCACCACGCACUUGCUCCUUCCCAAUUCACAAAACUUGUACCUAAAAUUUGGGAAAUAAAAAUAUAUUUUUAAAACUGGUGACUUUUGAAGGGAA
rnacentral:lncRNA from 1 species